rnacentral:rRNA from 1 species
UCUUGGUCAUUUAGAGGAAGUAAAAGUCGUAACAAGGUUUCCGUAGGUGAACCUGCGGAAGGAUCAUUACCGAACCGUCGACACGAGUUGUUGCUGGUCCUCAGACGGGGACAUGUGCACGCUCUGUUUACACAUCCACCCACACCUGUGCACCCCCUGUGGUUCUAUGGCAUGGGGGACUCUGUCCUCUUGCUUUGGUUCUAUGUUUUUACACACACGCUGUAACGAAGUCUUAUGGAAUGUACCCCGCGUUUAACGCGAUACAAUACAACUUUCAGCAACGGAUCUCUUGGCUCUCGCAUCGAUGAAGAACGCAGCGAAAUGCGAUAAGUAAUGUGAAUUGCAGAAUUCAGUGAAUCAUCGAAUCUUUGAACGCACCUUGCGCCCUUUGGCUAUUCCGAAGGGCAUGCCUGUUUGAGUAUCAUGAACACCUCAACUCUCAUGGUUUGCCAUGAUGAGCUUGGACUUUGGGGGUCUUGCUGGCCUAUGGUCGGCUCCUCUCAAAUGAAUCAGCUUACCAGCGUUUGGUGGCGCCACGGGUGUGAUAACUAUCUACGCUCGUGGUCUCCCGCCAGGUAACCUCCAGCGAUGGAGGUUCGCUGGGGCUCACAGACGUCUUUCCUCGGCGAGGACAGCUUUUUGAACGUCUGAUCUCAAAUCAGGUAGGACUACCCGCUGAACUUAAGCAUAUCAAUAAGCGGAGGA